GAUGAACGCUGGCGGCGUGCCUAAUACAUGCAAGUCGAGCGAACAGACGAGAGUGCUUGCACUCUCUGACGUUAGCGGCGGACGGGUGAGUAACACGUGGGUAACCUACCUAUAAGACUGGGAUAACUUCGGGAAACCGGAGCUAAUACCGGAUAAUAUUUAGCUUCGCAUGUAGCAAUAGUGAAAGACGGUUCUGCUGUCACUUAUAGAUGGACCCGCGGUGUAUUAGCUAGUUGGUGAGGUAACGGCUCACCAAGGCAACGAUACAUAGCCGACCUGAGAGGGUGAUCGGCCACACUGGGACUGAGACACGGCCCAGACUCCUACGGGAGGCAGCAGUAGGGAAUCUUCCGCAAUGGACGAAAGUCUGACGGAGCAAUGCCGCGUGAGUGAAGAAGGUUUUCGGAUCGUAAAACUCUGUUGUAAGGGAAGAACAAGUACGUUAGUAACUGAACGUACCUUGACGGUACCUUACCAGAAAGCCACGGCUAACUACGUG
rnacentral:rRNA from 1 species